rnacentral:lncRNA from 1 species
CGGUCGCCAGCCCCUCUCCACGUCCGCCCGUCCCCUCCCUCCCUCGCUCGCCGCCGAGUCCCGCGGAGGGGGGAUGCUCCGGGUCCCACCUCCCCGGGGAGCUGCGCAUUUCCGCGCACCAGGGCGGCCCUGGCUCCGGCCGGCCCUCGCGGCGACAGCCCGCGUUCCGCGUCCCCGGGAAGUUGUCUCCGGAGCCCGGGGCCCCUGGGUCUCCUCCCCCUGAGCCCCGCCCCCUCGCCCGGAGCUGGGAUCUGCAAGCUGCCCGGCCCGGGGGCGUCGCCGCUCUCUCGGCGAAGCCAGCGAGUGUCUGCUUCUCUGCGCGGAUCGCGCGUCCCCUACCUGACCGGGGACCCCCGCGGACCCCCGACACGGCGCGCGCUCAGAGCGCGGGAGCCCGGGACUCCGGGCGCCUGGGAUCCCGCGGAGCCGCUGCCCAGCCCGCGGGGCUCGGCAGGGAUGCAGUCUGCGCUGUGAGCCCGGGCGCCAAGGCCAUGUCCGGCACCCGCUGCCGGACCCUUUACCCCUUCUCCGGGGAGCGGCAUGGCCAGGGGCUCCGCUUCGCCGCGGGUGAGCUUAUCACGCUGCUGCAAGUCCCGGACGGAGGCUGGUGGGAAGGCGAGAAGGAGGACGGGCUCCGCGGCUGGUUCCCGGCAAGCUACGUGCAGUUGCUGGAGGUAAGGGGCGAGGGCCAGGGUGGAAAGACUCCCCCGGCUGCGGUCCCUCGGGUGCCGGCAUACCUGUUGACCACGGCGGGGAUCUGCUGCUGUCCCUGUAGAGGGACGCCCCUGGGGGCAGAUCUGCUCUACCGACCGACAUGCAACUCCGCGUUCCUGGGGACGGAGAAGGCAGCGCGCACCCCUGCAGGCGUGGGCAUCGCGAGCUCCACAGG